CUUGUUAAUUGCGUAUAAACAGUGUUAUGUAAACGUAGAGUUAGGCCUGUUUGGUACCACCCUACUAUUUAGUUAAAAGAAAUACUUCGUAUUGCUAUACCCAUUUGAAGGAUCAUCAUCAUCAUCCUCACUUGGUGGUAGGUCUGUGUGCAAGCCUGUCUGGGUUGAAUAAACAUCCCCUGAGGAGAGCUCCGCCAAGCCACAAGCGUCGCACAGCACGGAGCACAGCACGGGAGAGGCCGCGAAUGCGUUAUAGGAGGACGGUAAUCGCAGUAGUUUUAGUAGGCUGUGUAAUAAGGACUAAGAGAUAUAGAUCUAGUUAUAUUCGAGCAUUCGGAAUGGUCUAUAAAAAAUUCAAGCAUCGAACAAAACUCAGGAACGUCACACAUCAGUCAGGUCACAAUUAAAACCGAACGCACCUUGCCUCCCAGUGAGCUUUUGAAAAAGGAACGUGUUGACGACGCAAAAUAAAACAUCACCUCUCUCCUUCUCACUUACAAACCUCAUACACGU